rnacentral:rRNA from 1 species
UACGUAGGGGGCUAGCGUUGUCCGGAAUCAUUGGGCGUAAAGCGCGUGUAGGCGGUCCGGUAAGUCCGCUGUGAAAGUCGGGGGCUCAACCCUCGGAUGCCGGUGGAGUACUGUCGGGCUUGAGUACGGAAGAGGCGAGUGGAAUUCCUGGUGUAGCGGUGAAAUGCGCAGAUAUCAAGGAAGAACACCUAUGGCGAAGGCAGCACUCUGGGACGGUACUGACGCUGAGACGCGAAAGCGUGGGGAGCGAACAGG